UUCUAAACCCUAAGUGUGCCCCCAUAUUUGACAUCUCUCUAGUGAUAAUUGCGAAGGCUUCUCCGACGGAAUCUUUGCCACAGACCCGUAGUGAAGACGGAGAACCCACAUGCGAAGAUGGACGUCUUGUUCGCAAAGUUGCCACUUAGUUCAACCACAUUAAGAUCCGUUCCGUCAAGUGGAGGUACUCAUCUUUGAUUGCUGUAAAUUGAUUUUAGUUUUCUCAAUUCGUCAUUCUCAGAGUAAAGAAUGAAUGUAAUUCUAUGAAAGGGUGGAGUAGAUGUAUUUGUCAACAAGAUUCUGACCGGAAUCCAACAGAGAAACUUAAAGGUAAAUAAUACAUUUUCUUUUCAUUGCAAACAAUGAAAUUCCAUGCCAAGAAAUAGUUAUAUCGCUUCAAUAGAUUCGACAUGAUGUUUUGAAAUAAGUCCACUUGUUCUUAGUUAGUUGUUUAUUGAUUAAAUUGUAUGGGUUUCUUUAGGCAAUAUCAGUAGACAAUAAAAAGCACAAGUCAUUUUUAUUGAAAUCCUUCGCCAUUGUUAAUGUCUGUUGACAAAUUAAAUGAUGUUUAUGUUAAUCGAUAACUUUUAAUAAGACGCCCCCUGGAUUGACUUGUGUUAAUUUGAGCCAAAUCGUUUAAAUAUUUUCAUCUUUUGAUGAAUUCAAGUUGUAAAUCUGAGCAGGUGGAGUUGAGUGAUAGAAGCUUUUGAUGAUUUAUUCUUCUAAGGUUUACUUUUAUGUCCCAAUAAUUGUUUUAUUUGGUGCCAACCUAGAAAAUUUAGUGCAGAUUUAAUUGUUUAUGAUUCCUAAAUGUUUAUCUAAAAGCAAGCAGCAUUACAAAACUUGAUUAAUCCAUGCCUUUUUGUAAAUAUGAUUCUAUGAAUCUGUUGAUGCACUAACAAUGGUUGGUUUUAAGUUAAAUGUGACAUUGGGAAAAUAUUUUAAAAACGUGGAAUUAUUAUGUACCAAGAGUAAAGGUGGGAUUAUUGUGUACAAGAUUGUAAACGUGGGAUUAUUAAAAACCAAUUUUCCUUAGUUUUUCUAUAAAAAUAUUGGCCUGCUAGUGUAAAACUUUAUUAAUUCUUUUUGUAAAAUGAUUUUUUGCACUAUUAUGACUAGAGUUUAAUAAAUAUUUGUUGAAAACUAAAUUCUAUAUCGGAGAUGAAGUUUUUCUCAAAAGCAUUCUAAACUCUACCGAGACUGUAGCAAGAGUAAGGGUCUAGAGCUUGGACCCAAAUGAUCUAGUUGGUGGUACAAAGAUUAGACCAGAAUGGUGUGAGUAAACGUUCAAAUACCAAUAAAAAAAGAUGAAAACUUGGUAAGACUAUAUGGUUUAUUUUCUACAAUUCAAGAUUGUAUUGGUGCAUCCAUCGCAUGGCCCUAUCCAUUCAUCUCGGUAGUCCAUGAGGAUUGAGGACACAUGAUGACCCAAGAUUUAUGCUUCUUAUUUCUUUAAUUCCUUUUAAUUUCUUUGUUAAAUGUUAAGACUUUAUGAUAGAUAAUGUUAUAACUUAUUUAUGGUUAGUGUUUUUGUUAUGAACAUGCUUAUUUGAAAUGUAAUGAAAUUUUAUUUCUU
rnacentral:lncRNA from 1 species